rnacentral:rRNA from 1 species
UCCCCCAGUAGCGGCGAGCGAACGGGGAGCAGCCCAGAGUCUGAAUCAGCUUGUGUGUUAGUGGAACGGUCUGGAAAGUCCGACGGUACAGGGUGAUAGUCCCGUACACCAAAAUGCACAGGUUGUGAACUCGAAGAGUAGGGCGGGACACGUGGUAUCCUGUCUGAAUAUGGGGGGACCAUCCUCCAAGGCUAAAUACUCCUGACUGACCGAUAGUGAACCAGUACCGUGAGGGAAAGGCGAAAAGAACCCCGGCGAGGGGAGUGAAAAAGAACCUGAAACCGUGUACGUACAAGCAGUGGGAGCCUACUUGUUAGGUGACUGCGUACCUUUUGUAUAAUGGGUCAGCGACUUAUAUUCUGUAGCAAGGUUAACCGUAUAGGGGAGCCGAAGGGAAACCGAGUCUUAACUGGGCGUUAAGUUGCAGGGUAUAGACCCGAAACCCGGUGAUCUAGCCAUGGGCAGGUUGAAGGUUGGGUAACACUAACUGGAGGACCGAACCGACUAAUGUUGAAAAAUUAGCGGAUGACUUGUGGCUGGGGGUGAAAGGCCAAUCAAACCGGGAGAUAGCUGGUUCUCCCCGAAAGCUAUUUAGGUAGCGCCUCGUGAAUUCAUCUUCGGGGGUAGAGCACUGUUUCGGCUAGGGGGUCAUCCCGACUUACCAACCCGAUGCAAACUGCGAAUACCGAAGAAUGUUAUCACGGGAGACACACGGCGGGUGCUAACGUCCGUCGUGAAGAGGGAAACAACCCAGACCGCCAGCUAAGGUCCCAAAGUCACAGUUAAGUGGGAAACGAUGUGGGAAGGCACAGACAGCCAGGAUGUUGGCUUAGAAGCAGCCAUCAUUUAAAGAAAGCGUAAUAGCUCACUGGUCGAGUCGGCCUGCGCGGAAGAUGUAACGGGGCUAAACUGUGCACCGAAGCUGCGGCAGCGACACUAUGUGUUGUUGGGUAGGGGAGCGUUCUGUAAGCCGUUGAAGGUGUGUCGUGAGGCAUGCUGGAGGUAUCAGAAGUGCGAAUGCUGACAUAAGUAACGAUAAUGCGGGUGAAAAACCCGCACGCCGGAAGACCAAGGGUUCCUGUCCAACGUUAAUCGGGGCAGGGUGAGUCGACCCCUAAGGCGAGGCCGAAAGGCGUAGUCGAUGGGAAACAGGUUAAUAUUCCUGUACUUGGUGUUACUGCGAAGGGGGGACGGAGAAGGCUAUGUUAGCCGGGCGACGGUUGUCCCGGUUUAAGCAUGUAGGCGGGUGUUUUAGGUAAAUCCGGAACACUACUAACGCUGAGGUGUGAUGACGAGGCACUACGGUGCUGAAGUAACAAAUGCCCUGCUUCCAGGAAAAGCCUCUAAGCAUCAGGUAACACGAAAUCGUACCCCAAACCGACACAGGUGGUCAGGUAGAGAAUACCAAGGCGCUUGAGAGAACUCGGGUGAAGGAACUAGGCAAAAUGGUGCCGUAACUUCGGGAGAAGGCACGCUGAUAUGUAGGUGAAGCGGUUUACCCGUGGAGCUGAAAUCAGUCGAAGAUACCAGCUGGCUGCAACUGUUUAUUAAAAACACAGCACUGUGCAAACACGAAAGUGGACGUAUACGGUGUGACGCCUGCCCGGUGCCGGAAGGUUAAUUGAUGGGGUUAUCCGUAAGGAGAAGCUCUUGAUCGAAGCCCCGGUAAACGGCGGCCGUAACUAUAACGGUCCUAAGGUAGCGAAAUUCCUUGUCGGGUAAGUUCCGACCUGCACGAAUGGCGUAAUGAUGGCCAGGCUGUCUCCACCCGAGACUCAGUGAAAUUGAACUCGCUGUGAAGAUGCAGUGUACCCGCGGCAAGACGGAAAGACCCCGUGAACCUUUACUAUAGCUUGACACUGAACACUGGUCCUUGAUGUGUAGGAUAGGUGGGAGGCUUUGAAGUGUGGACGCCAGUCUGCAUGGAGCCAACCUUGAAAUACCACCCUUUAAUGGCUGGUGUUCUAACGUGGACCCGUGAUCCGGGUUGCGGACAGUGUCUGGUGGGUAGUUUGACUGGGGCGGUCUCCUCCUAAAGAGUAACGGAGGAGCACGAAGGUUAGCUAAUCCUGGUCGGACAUCAGGAGGUUAGUGCAAAGGCAUAAGCUAGCUUGACUGCGAGAGUGACGGCUCGAGCAGGUGCGAAAGCAGGUCUUAGUGAUCCGGUGGUUCUGAAUGGAAGGGCCAUCGCUCAACGGAUAAAAGGUACUCCGGGGAUAACAGGCUGAUACCGCCCAAGAGUUCAUAUCGACGGCGGUGUUUGGCACCUCGAUGUCGGCUCAUCACAUCCUGGGGCUGAAGUAGGUCCCAAGGGUAUGGCUGUUCGCCAUUUAAAGUGGUACGCGAGCUGGGUUUAGAACGUCGUGAGACAGUUCGGUCCCUAUCUGCCGUGGGCGCUGGAGAAUUGAGGGGGGCUGCUCCUAGUACGAGAGGACCGGAGUGGACGCAUCACUGGUGUUCGGGUUGUCAUGCCAAUGGCAUUGCCCGGUAGCUAAAUGCGGAAGAGAUAAGUGCUGAAAGCAUCUAAGCACGAAACUUGCCCCGAGAUGAGUUCUCCCUGAGACUAUAAGUCUCCUGAAGGAACGUUGAAGACGACGACGUUGAUAGGUCGGGUGUGUAAGUGUAGCGAUACAUUGAGCUAACCGAUACUAAUGAACCGUGAGGCUUAACCUU